GACGGGAGGGGACGGAAUGGACGCGAAACUGCGCAGUGAGGGAAGCCAGAGGCUGGGCCCGUCCGACGCUGAAACCUGGCAGGUCCUGGUUGAAGGAGCGGGGAGGGCAGGCACUCCGGGUUUGCCUGACCACGGGCCGGCGCUGUCUGGUGGCCCAGUGGUCUGCGCUUCGGCACCUUCUGGAUCCGGUAGACACCCAACCUUUCCAGGACUCUGCGCCCUUGGCGUUGGCCUGGCCCUGGGCAGGGUGCGGGAGUCUUGCAGAAGGAGCCCACCACCUUCCUUAACAGAGAUUCAGAACAUCUAUUCUUCAACCCCGUCGUCCCCUAAAAUCAUACACAGGUGUUAUAAAUUCUAAGGGUACUAGAAAUGAAAACAAGAAUAUACUGUUUGUUCCUAAUGGCUUUUAGUAUAUAUUAACAUAUUGUUUGUGAUGGCAUCUGAGACUGAGAAGACUCAUGCUUUAUUGCAGUCUUGUAGCACUGAGUCUCUUAUUUCUAGCCUUGGUCUGGGGAUAUUUUGCUUAGUAGCUGACAAACUUCUUCAAUUUUCCAUAAUCCAACAAAAUGACUGGCUUCGUGCCCUCUCAGAUAAUGCAGUACAUUGUGUGAUUGGCAUGUGGUCAUGGGCAAUAGUCAUUGGAAUCAAGAAGAAGACUGACUUUGGAGAAAUCAUUUUGGCUGGAUUUUUAGCCUCUGUUAUUGAUGUGGACCAC
rnacentral:lncRNA from 1 species